rnacentral:rRNA from 1 species
CUUAGCAGAGAUGCUUUGGUGCUUCGGGAACUCUGAGACAGGUGCUGCAUGGCUGUCGUCAGCUCGUGUUGUGAAAUGUUGGGUUAAGUCCCGCAACGAGCGCAACCCUUAUCCUUGUUGCCAGCGGUCCGGCCGGGGAAACUCAAAGGAGACUGCCAGUGAUAAACUGGAGGAAGGUGGGGAUGACGUCAAGUCAUCAUGGCCCUUACGAGUAGGGCUACACACGUGCUACAAUGGCGCAUACAAAGAGAAGCGACCUCGCGAGAGCAAGCGGACCUCAUAAAGUGCGUCGUAGUCCGGAUUGGAGUCUGCAACUCGACUCCAUGAAGUCGGAAUCGCUAGUAAUCGUGGAUCAGAAUGCCACGGUGAAUACGUUCCCGGGCCUU